rnacentral:rRNA from 1 species
CUACGGGUUGCUCCAGUGAGGAAUAUUGCACAAUGGAGGAAACUCUGAUGCAGCAACGCCGCGUGGAGGAUGACGCAUUUCGGUGUGUAAACUCCUUUUAUAUGUCAAGAAAAUGACGGUAGCAUAUGAAUAAGCUCCGGCUAACUCCGUGCCAGCAGCCGCGGUAAUACGGAGGGAGCAAGCGUUACUCGGAAUCACUGGGCGUAAAGGACGCGUAGGCGGGAUAGAAAGUCAGGUGUGAAAUCCUAUGGCUCAACCAUAGAACUGCACUUGAAACUUCUAACCUAGAGUAUGGGAGGGGAGGAUGGAAUUAGUGGUGUAGGGGUAAAAUCCGUAGAUAUCACUAGGAAUACCAAAAGCGAAGGCGAUCUUCUGGAACAAUACUGACGCUAAGGCGUGAAAGCGUGGGGAGCAAACAGGAUUAGAUACCCCCGUAGUC